rnacentral:rRNA from 1 species
GACGAACGCUGGCGGCGUGCUUAACACAUGCAAGUCGAACGGAAAGGCCCUGCUUUUGUGGGGUGCUCGAGUGGCGAACGGGUGAGUAACACGUGAGUAACCUGCCCUUGACUUUGGGAUAACUUCAGGAAACUGGGGCUAAUACCGGAUAGGAGCUCCUGCUGCAUGGUGGGGGUUGGAAAGUUUCGGCGGUUGGGGAUGGACUCGCGGCUUAUCAGCUUGUUGGUGGGGUAGUGGCUUACCAAGGCUUUGACGGGUAGCCGGCCUGAGAGGGUGACCGGCCACAUUGGGACUGAGAUACGGCCUAGACUCCUACGGGAGGCAGAAGUGGGGAAUAUUGCACAAUGGGCGGAAGCCUGAUGCAGCAACGCCGCGUGCGGGAUGACGGCCUUCGGGUUGUAAACCGCUUUCGCCUGUGACGAAGCGUGAGUGACGGUAAUGGGUAAAGAAGCACCGGCUAACUACGUG